CAACCUGUGGCCCAAUGGCAGCAGAGUGUGGGCACGCCGGGGGGCAGGCCCAGCGCGCCCAACUUUUCCAGAAGACCCGGAUAGUACCUCCCAGCCACACCGAGCCAGCUCUGGGCACUCCAAACGCCGGCUUUCCCCCUCUUCUUCUGUUCGAUCAGCUAUGGCGGCCGUGAAGACUCUGAACCCCAAGGCCGAGGUGGCCCGAGCCCAGGCGGUGCUGGCAGUCAACAUCAGCAGGGCUCUGGGGCUGCAGGACGUGCUCAGAACCAACUUGGGGCCUAAGGGCACCAUGAAGAUGCUUGUUUCUGGCGCCGGAGACAUCAAGCUUACCAAAGACGGCAAUGUACUGCUUCACAACAUGCAAAUUCAACACCCAACAGCCUCCUUAAUAGCAAAAGUGGCAACAGCCCAAGAUGACAUAACUGGUGAUGGUACUACUUCCAUGUCCUAAUCAUUGGAGAGCUGCUGAAACAGGCGGAUCUCUACAUUCCUGAAGGGCUUCAUCCCAGAAUAAUCACUGAAGGAUUUGAAGCUGCAAAGGAAAAGGCCUUUCACUUUUUGGAACAAGUCAAAGUAAGCAGAGAGAUGGACAGGGAAACACUUAUAGAUGUGGCCAGAACAUCUCUUCGUACUAAAGUUCAUGUUGAACUUGCAAAUGUCUUAACAGAGGCUGUAGUGGACUCCAUUUUGGCCAUCAAAAGACAAGAUGAACCUAUUGAUCUCUUCAUUGUUGAGAUCAUGGAGAUGAAACAUAAAUCUGAAACUGACUCAAGCUUAAUCAGAGGGCUUGUUUUGGACCAUGGAGCCCAGCAUCCUGAUAUGAAGAAAAGAGUAGAAGAUGCCUACAUCCUCACGUGCAAUGUGUCAUUAGAAUAUGAAAAAACAGAAGUGAAUUCUGGCUUUUUUUUACAAGAGUGCAGAAGAGAGAGAAAAACUAGUAAAAGCUGCAAGAAAAUUCAUUGAAGAUAGAGUUAAAAAAAAUAAUAGAACUGAAAAAGAAAGUUUGUGGUGAUUCAGAUAAAGGAUUUGUUGUUAUUAACCAAAAGGGAAUUGACCCCUUUUCCUUAGAUGCUCUUGCAAAAGAAGGCAUAGUAGCUCUGCGCAGAGCUAAAGAGAGAAAUAUGGAGAGGCUGACUCUUGCUUGUGGUGGAGUAGCUCUAAAUUCUUUUGAUGACCUAAAUCCUGACUGUUUGGGACAUGCGGGACUUGUCUAUGAGUACACAUUGGGAGAAGAGAAGUUCACCUUUAUUGAGAAAUGUAACAAUCCUCGUUCUGUCACAUUAUUGGUCAAAGGCCCAAAUAAGCACACACUCACUCAAAUCAAAGAUGCAAUAAGAGAUGGCUUGAGGGCGGUCAAAAAUGCUAUUGAUGAUGGCUGUGUGGUUCCAGGUGCUGGUGCGGUAGAAGUGGCAAAGGCAGAAGCCCUGAUUAAAUAUAAGCCCAGUGUAAAGGGUAGGGCCCAACUUGGAGUCCAAGCAUUUGCUGAUGCAUUGCUCAUCAUCCCCAAGGUUCUUGCUCAGAACUCUGGUUCUGACCUUCAGGAAACGUUAGUUAAAAUUCAAGCUGAACAUUCAGAAUCAGGUCAACUUGUGGGUGUGGAGUUGAACACAGGUGAGCCAAUGGUGGCAGCAGAACUAGGCGUAUGGGAUAACUAUUGUGUAAAGAAACAGCUUCGUCACUCCUGCACUGUGAUCGUCACCAACAUUCUCUUAGUUGAUGAGAUUAUGCGAACUGGAAUGUCUACUCUGAAAGGCUGAAUUGAAGCUUCUCUUGUAUCUGAAUAUUGAAGACUCUCCAAAGUGAUCCUGAGGAAGAUACGUGUGGAAAUUUUGCCCAAGCAUCAAGUGGUUUUCAAAGGAAUUUUCUUUGCCCAUAUGAAAAAAGGAGAGAACACUGGCACCUAUUUAAAUUCUGAAGUUCUGAAAUUACAAUUACAGUAUUUUUUAAAUUGCACUGAAAUACACACAUAAAAGGAGGUCCUUUUUACCUAGUGAACAGGAUGUUUUGCUUUAGCUGCAGUGACAAAAUUACGUGUUAGAUAAACAUGUUAUCUACCUUGUUAUUAAUUAUUCCUUGAAAAACAAAUUUUAAUGGUUUAAUAAUUUCUUAUGUGGAUGUAUUUUAAAUUAUCCAACAGUACCCUACUGUUAAGCAUUUAAGGUGAAAAUUUUUAUGCUAAUAUAAAUAACAAGUAAUUUAUGAUUUUGAAAGCAUUCCUGUUUCCUUAGUAUAAAUUUCUAUGAGUAAAAUUAUUGGAUCAGUU